rnacentral:rRNA from 1 species
GUCUAUUUGAUGAUAUAAAUAGUCUGGCCUGCCCACUGAUUUAGAUAUUAAAGGGCCGCGGUAUUUUUAACCGUGCAAAGGUAGCAUAAUCAUUAGGUUUUUAAUUAGAAUCUUGUAUGAAUGGUUCGACAAAAGAAAUACUGUCUUUAUAUUAAAUUUUGAAUUUAACUUUUAAGUGAAAAGGCUUAAAUAUAUUAAAGGGACGAUAAGACCCUAUAAAACUUUACAUUGUAGUUUUAUUUAAUUGAAUUUGUGAAAUAAAGAUUUAAUUUAAUUAUAUGUUAUGUUGGGGAGACAAAGGUAAAAUAAAUUUUAACUGCUUUAUGUUAAAACAUAUAUUUAUGGAUAUAUUAAAAGAUCCUUUAUAAAGAUUAAAAGAUUAAGUUACUUUAGGGAUAACAGCGUUAUUUUUUUUGAGAGUUCCUAUCGAAAAGAGAGUUUGCGACCUCGAUGUUGAAUUAAAAUAUCUUUAUAGUGCAGAAGCUAUAAAAGAAGGUCUGUUCGACCUUUAAAUUUUUAC